UCGGAUAUGGUGUAACGGCUAACAUUGCCGCCUCUCACCUGUGGUAGAUCGCGGCAGCUCGGGGUUCGAUUCCCCGUAUCCGAA
rnacentral:tRNA from 1 species